rnacentral:rRNA from 2 species
UUGACCUCAAAUCAGGUAGGAUUACCCGCUGAACUUAAGCAUAUCAAUAA